rnacentral:rRNA from 1 species
UACGUAGGGACCAAGCGUUGUUCGGAUUUACUGGGCGUAAAGGGCGCGUAGGCGGCGUGACAAGUCACUUGUGAAAUCUCCGGGCUUAACUCGGAACGGCCAAGUGAAACUGUCAUGCUAGAGUGCAGAAGGGGCAACUGGAAUUCUCGGUGUAGCGGUGAAAUGCGUAGAUAUGUGGAGGAGCACCAGUGGCGAAGGCGACUUUCUGGGCUGUAACUGACGCUGAGGCGCGAAAGCGUGGGGAGCAAACAGG